CAUAGGAUCAAUGAUCACUCAAAAGUUCAAAGUAAAUUUAUUGUCAAUGUACAUCUAUGUUACUGUAUAACACAUUGAGAUUCAUUUUCUUGCAGGCAAUUACAGGGAAAAAAGAAAUAAAAGAGAAUUUACAAUAAAAUUUAUACAUAAACUGGCAAAUUCUGACAAACAACCAAUGGUCAAGAGAAGACAAACUGUGCAAAUUAAACAAUUAGAGUGGAUCCAGACCACUCCCCAGGCAGGGGUUGAUAUACUUCAUAACCAACCUCUUGAAGCACUUAAGUGCCAAGGCAUGAUAGUCCCUGAACCAGGUUAUUGCGUCCUUCUUGGGCACCUGCAUGAUUGAAGCCUGCUUGGAACAGGUGCAAGGUCAAAGGUGGAUGUGAAGAAAAACAUUUGUAUUUGGAGAAUUAUUAUGAUCUGAAUCUCAUUAUCUGUAAGGAUGUUGGAAACAGAAUUAAGAUGUUCAAAAGCAAACUGUCCAGGCAUCUGAGGAAAGAAAGACAAGUCUAAGAACAACUUCAACCAUGCACGGGAAUAGUGGAACAUGUGGACUAGUUUACACGAGAAAGUGGAUCUUCUGUCUGCCCUGAAAGAUUUGGAGGAAAAGGAAAACUGAACGUUCUUGGAGAAGAACUGAUGUUUAGAGCCUGAGAAUGAACAUGGAGUGAAAAUAUAUUCCAAUGUUAUUGAUGGUUUACAAAGUGGAAAAGUUUUUGAGAACCAGGAAGUGAAUCACCUGCUGCAGAACCACACACUCAGAUCCCACCACCGCUCCUUGUAGUCUACGUACACGUACUGCUAAAUGGAUUUCAAAUUCUUGUCAGUAGUGACUAUCCAGAAGUCAACCAUGGUUUGUUUGAGGAUGACAACAUUUUUGAAUGUCUACACAAGAGACUGCGGAUGCUGGAAUCUGGAGCAACAUACAAUCUACAGGAGGAACUCAGCAGGUCAUAUAACAUCUAAAGCAAAACAAAGAAUCGCAUCAAAAGUAGUCCUGAGAGGUCCAUUUGGAAAGCUCUACAGCAAUGUCAAAGAUGAGAAAAUUGAGCCUGGAGUGUACUGCAUUAUAUGUUGGUGCAGUGAUAAGUCAUGUGACAGAUGAUGAGUGGAAGAAAUGGAUCACUUUUGUUUCUUGCAUAUUUAUUACCAGAAAGCACAAUUAUGGACAAACUUAGAAGGAAGAAUUUCGAAGAUUGUUCAAAACCAAGAAAUUCAGCCUUUAUCCCCAAAACGGAUCAAAAUCCAUUACUUUCAGUAUCAGGUCUCAAGUCAAUAAUACUUCCAGUAAAACCAUUAAGAAAGCAGUGAUGGGUAAUCUUUUUAUUACAUAAUGCAACUGAGUACAGGAGUUCCAAGCAGAGCACCUUCCUGGUUAUCUGCAUGUGACUGCUGCAUGACAACUCUGAUGUUGAAAGUGAAAACAUGAUCGAAGGCAACACAUUAAAUGAUGUUGAGGAGGAAUUUCCAGUAACUGUGUUGGAAAUCAGAGCCAUGGUCCAGAAAGAAGAGUUGAAAAAGAUCCAUGAACAGAUCACUGCAAUGAAUUGUCAUGUGAGUCAAGUACCUUAAGUUAAUGCUCACUACACUGUGAGAAAAGUUACUGGCUACAUUACUAAUGGAGCACAUAGGAAUAGUCAAUUGCAGAAAACUUUGCUUAUUGGUUUACAGAAAAUCAAAACACUGAUCUCAAAUUAUUGGUAAGCAAACAGAACAUGUGGAAAAACUAACAAAACAGUCCUAUGCUCCCAUCAUUACAGCCAGCUAGACCUUUUCCAAGAAACCAUACAGAGAAAAGGGAAUGGUAAUUUUUGGGUACUGACCCUGCCUGUACUAAGAUGAAACACAUGGAUUCAUUUCUCAAUACUAAAUUAACUAAGGUGACUUGAGAUCCAUUUGUGCAUAUCACGAGCUAAGUUUUGGGACCUUAGAUUCAAUACAUUCUGUUCUGAAGAUGUAUGAAAACCUUUGUUUUUAAAGAUACCCAUAUCUUUCAUACUGUCUAACAUCAAAUGGAAUAGUCGGUCAGUCAGAAUAGUAAGAAUCAAUUGUUGCAGAUAUUCCAAACUCCUCAUGUGCAGAAUGCAAGAUGAAAAGAAGCCUGAGAACAUUCUUGAGCUUUGUUCAUCUAAGGUUGGCCUUUAGAUUUGAACAGAGGUUGAGUUAAAAAUAUGUUUCUGAACUAGUCAAAAAGAAUGUCAGUUCAAGCCUGUAAACACACAAGUGGGAAGCUUGUGAAACUGGAUUCAGAUUCAUUUAUUUAUUACAUGUAAAUCAAAACAUACAGAGAAAUGUGUCAUUUGCAUUAAUAACCAACACAACCUAAGGCGUGCUAGGUGCAGGCCACAACUGUCAUCACACAUUCCAACAGCAACAUACCAUGCCCAUGUUACUUGGCAGAACAACACAGAACUCAACACAGCAGAACACCAUAAAUAACCAAACAACAAUAGCAAAACAAGCUCCUUUUCUCCCUCCCACCGACAGUUUUCUAACCCCAGGACAGGCCUCAGGAUCUCCAGAUCCAGUCUCUAGUCUCCAGGCUUUGGCUAAAGGGCUUUAACUUUUGGAUUUCCAUUUGGCCUUUGGGCUUCAAUCUACAGUAUCGAUCCUUGAACUAGCCGAUGAUGGGACCCCGAACCCCAGGCUCGCCAACUCACCAGCCCCCAUGCCUCAUGCUCACAUAGAUGGUGCUAGCUUUUGAGUGUGGAGUGAAGGCCAAAACUCUGGAUGUCUUUCAUCACCUGACCACACUGUGGGCCUUCAAGCACGGAGUGGAGUCCUGGACUCUGGAUAUCCUUUGGCUCAUGGGCUCAUGUCUACAUGCUGGCCUUUGAAUGCGGAGUGUAGGCCUGGACUUUGUUUGUCCUUUGUCAACCAUCUACAUUGUUGGUUUUCAAGCACAGAGCAGAGGCCAGAUGAUAUGAUGCCAAAAUUGCAAGUGUUCAUGUAGAUCAAAUGGUUCUUUUGGAAAUGAAUCAAUUCUGAAUGUUAAUUCUCUCAGUCAUGAAGCUGUGCCCAAGUAAUACUAUAGGAAAUGGAGAACCAAAUACAACAUAGAGGUAGAAUAUUUGGCGAGUUCAAAUACAGAAUCAAAUAAUCUAAGAGUGGAUUCUACAACAUAACUCAAAACAAGAUCAGAAAGAUUCUAAAAGCUGGUUACUGGACUACCAUACAUUACUUAUA